GGGAUAGAUGAUUGGGGUGAAGUCGUAACAAGGUAGCCGUAUCGGAAGGUGCGGCUGGAUCACCUCCUUUCUAAGGA
rnacentral:rRNA from 1 species